AAACUGAGUCCAGAUGCAUUCAGGCCGCAUUCCAUUUACCUCAGAGCUCCGAGUCUCACCAAUGGAGCAGCAUUCCAGUUAUUAACACAUUCCAACAUGGUGGCGCCCAAUUAGACAAACACUCUUAGGCUGCAUUCACAAAAAUUCUGUUCAGUCCGACUCCGCUCCGCUUUAAUAAAACUCUGGUCUGCUUUACGUUUAGUGAUAUUAAUGAAUGAACGAAGCUGUUUGAGUUAAUUUCACCCUCAAUCUACAACUCUGCCAUCUGCUGGUGGAAACUGGUUCUUGCAAUGUAAAAUGUUUCACUCGGUUUCUGCUGCUGACGGUUCCAGUGAUGUUUGUCAGCAGCUCCUUCCUGUCCUCCAACUCUCAUUUCCUGUCUCUGCAGAUGCAUCAGACGCGGAUGCAGCAACUGCAGCAGCAACUACAGAUGCAGCAGCAGCACCAGGCACAGGCCCAGUCCAUCCAGCAGAUGGUGCAGCAGCAGCAGGUCCAGGUCCAGUCGGGUCAGAUGCCUCCUCACUCCCAGCCCGGACUUGUCCCCCAGUCUCUGCCGGGUCAGAUGCCGGCGCAGUCCAUCCCCAUCAGCUCGCUGAGCCAGCAGCAGCAGCAGCAGCAGCAGCAGCUCAAGAUGCAGGCCUUCCAGCAGGUUCGCGCCACGCUGCCGCUGCAGCAGGCCCAGCAGGCUGCAGCACAGGCGCAGCUUAACGCCGCUGCGGCCGCCGCCGCUGCCGCCGCCGCGCCUGGACAGAUGGUCCGGCCCCCGAUGCAGAAUCUGCCCCGCCCCCCUCGACCUCCUCUGAACGCCGCCAUCCCUCCUGCAAACAGCACGGCCGGGGUCGGAGGUCCGAUGAUGACCCCACAGGUGCAGCAGCAUCCCAUGAUGUCAUCACCCUCACCUGUGCAGGUGCCCACCCCACAGAUGCUGCCCCCCCCCCAGCCAUCCCCGCAGCCCCCCUCCUCCCAGCCCAACUCGGCCAGCUCCGGCCCCACGCCGUCUCCAGGCGGCUUCCAACCCAGCCCCUCCCCUCAGCCGUCGCCGAGCCCGGUCACCGCCAGAACCCCUCAGCAGAACCACGGGGUGGCCUCGCCCGGGCCCCUCAACACGCCAGGUAACCCCGGGUCGGCCAUGAGUCCGGCUGGAGCCACGUCUCUGGAGGAGCAGCAGUACAUGGAGAAGCUCAAGCAGCUGUCCAAAUACAUCGAGCCGCUUCGCCGGAUGAUCAACAAGAUCGACAAGAACGAAGACAGGAAGAAGGACCUGAGCAAGAUGAAGAGUCUGCUGAACAUCCUGACUGAUCCAACCAUCAGGUGUCCUUUGAAGACGCUGCAGAAAUGCGAAAUCGCUUUGGAGAAGCUGAAGAACGACAUGGCCGUGGAUUCACGUCUGUUUCAGCCGACGCCGCCCCCCCCUCCGGUUCCCACCAAGCAGCAGUAUCUGUGCCAGCCGCUGCUGGACGCCGUCAUGGCCAACAUCCGCUCCCCGGUCUUCAACCACUCCCUGUACCGGACCUUCGCCCCCGCCAUGAGCGCCAUCCACGAGCCACCCAUCACGGGGCCCAACGUCUGCGGGAGGAAGAGGAAGCACGAGGAAGACGAGCGGCAGACCAUCCCCAACAUCCUGCAGGGGGAGGUAGCGCGCCUCGACGUCAAGUUCCUGGUCAACCUGGACCCGGCAUUCUGCAGCAACAACGGCACCGUGCACCUCAUCUGCAAGCUGGCUCAAAUCUGAGUUCAGGAAGUGAACAAUUACCUGAAGAGGAGACCUAACAAACCAGCAUGUUAACCGGGGAGAUAAAAGCUCUCCGUGCUCAGUGUCACAAUAACCAGCAGCUGCUUGAUUCAGCGAAGGAGCAAACCUCACAUUCCUCCACAUAAAUCAGGCUGAACUGCAGAACCGCAGCGUGGUUAGCCUGCAAGAUCUUUAUUCCCAUUUCUGACCGAAAGACGUUCCUGUUAUGGUGCUAGCUCUGAACCGAUCUUCCUGCUGUGAGUUCAGACUGAUCUGGUUCUCUCACAUCAGCUGCGAUCAAUAACGGAUGAUAUUCAGCAUGUUGAUUGGGUCCCAGAGGACCAAUGACAACGCAGCCUGGUGAAUGUGACGUUUAGCCAAGCAGAAAACAACCGCCAUGGCGCACCAGAAAAUCUACAAAAUAUCUUCACUGCUUUUUUCUCGUCUGCCAUGUUUGUUUACUCUGAACUAUCGUUUGAUCUUGAGAGAUUUCCCAUCUGAUAUAUUAUGCAUAAACCUGUUAUAGCUGUUAUUUGAUUUUGUAUUGUCAUGUGUGAGCUUUGAAAAAUCAGCUGACUAUUUCUAAACCAGGCUUUAGCAGCAAGACGUUAUUCGAUCCAUUAGUUCUCUCAGCAGUUUGAUUCUUUAAAAUAACCAACUGAAGCUAACGCUACGCAUGAGCUCAGUGGAAUGAAGAUGUUCUCUCAAAGUUUAGAGGAAGUGGUUUUAGCUUCAACGUGACCAGCUGUAACUCCAAGUCACCGCCCAUAUAAGGAAGUGCUUCCUGUUGAUUCUUUCACCAGAAAUGCUGCAGGAUAUCAGAUCUAAUCAUUUUCUAUCUUUAAUGCGUUAGCUGUAAUCGUUAUGUUUUCUAAGACCAUCAGCUCCAGUUCUGGUUUUCUCACCUUGUUGCUCUUUUUGUCCCUCAGACGAUAAAAACCUGCCCAGCGUUCCUCCGCUGCAGCUCAGCGUUCCUGCAGACUACCCGGAUCAGAGUCCGCACUGGGCCAACGACGGAGACCAGUACGGCGCCAACGGCUUCCUGCAGACGGUCCACAGGAACAUGACGUCCAAACUGCUGCAGCUCCCUGACAAACACUCGGUGACGG